UACGUAGGCAGCGAGCGUUGUUCGGAGUUACUGGGCGUAAAGGGUGUGUAGGCGGUUUGGUAAGUCUGGUGUGAAAUCUCCCGGCUCAACUGGGAGGGUGCGCCGGAAAUUGCUGGACUUCGAGUGCGGGAGAGGAAAGUGGAAUUCCUGGUGUAGCGGUGAAAUGCGUAGAUAUCAGGAGGAACACCGGUGGUGUAGACGGCUUUCUGGACCGUAACUGACGCUGAAACACGAAAGCGUGGGUAGCAAACAGG
rnacentral:rRNA from 1 species